rnacentral:rRNA from 1 species
UACAGAGGUCUCAAGCGUUGUUCGGAUUCAUUGGGCGUAAAGGGUGUGUAGGUGGCGCGCUAAGUCGGGUGUGAAAUUUCGGAGCUUAACUCCGAAACUGCACUCGAUACUGGCGUGCUUGAGGACUGGAGGGGAGACUGGAAUUCAUGGUGUAGCAGUGAAAUGCGUAGAGAUCAUGAGGAAGACCAGUGGCGAAGGCGGGUCUCUGGACAGUUCCUGACACUGAGACACGAAGGCCAGGGGAGCAAACGGG